AAACAUAAUUUAAUUUAAAUGCAUUUUAAUUUGAUUUUUUAAUUGAUUAAUUGUGUAGAAUUUGUGUUGAGCCAUUUUUAUUGACUUGUGAAGUUUGACUAUGUGUUUGGGCCUUGGUCAAGGUUGAUUUGAUUUUUGUUGGAUUAAAAUCAUUGGAUUUUGGGGAUUGAUGAAAUUUACAUUUCAUCUUCCAAAAUGAAUGAAUGAUUUUAAUUUGAUAAAAU
rnacentral:lncRNA from 1 species